rnacentral:rRNA from 1 species
AUUGAACGCUGGCGGCAGGCCUAACACAUGCAAGUCGAGCGAGCGGCGGACGGGUGAGUAAUGUAUGGGGAUCUGCCCGAUAGAGGGGGAUAACUACUGGAAACAGUGGCUAAUACCGCAUACGAUCGGAUGAACCCAUAUGGGAUUAGCUAGUCGGUGGGGUAAAGGCUCACCUAGGCGACGAUCGCUAGCUGGUCUGAGAGGAUGAUCAGCCACACUGGAACUGAGACACGGCCCAGACUCCUACGGGAGGCAGCAGUGGGGAAUAUUGGACAAUGGGCGCAAGCCUGAUGCAGCCAUGCCGCGUGUGUGAAGAAGGUCUUAGGGUUGGAAAGUACUUUCAGCGGGGAGGCGUUACCCGCAGAAGAAGCACCGGCUAACUCCGUGCCAGCAGCCGCGGUAAUAC